UUUUUAUACUUCUCAGUGAAAGUACAAAAAAAAAUUUUUUUUUUUAAUGCAAUAAGAAUUACAUUGCUAUAAUUUUGACAAGCACACUUAUUUAUUAGUUUAAAAUGUGCUAAUUAUUAGUAUAAAAUGUGCAAAUUCAUGCGAUUUUCAAUCUUACAGUUUGAUGUUAUGGCAGCAGAUGGAAGUAACUGUCCAUUUAUAUUUUGUAUUCAUUGUUGGCUUCAUUGCAUCAUGUAUUUUUUCUGCGCAUCAGUUAUUCACUGUAAUGGUGCAACAGAAGCAUGAUACAACAGCUAGAUUGUGGAAAACUUUGCCAACUGAUGCACCACUGGAGAGGAAGCAUAGAAGAACAAAAUUGGAUAAGCUGGUUGUGAAUCAAAGAAUUUGUAUUGGUACUUCGUUAUGAUCUGAAAAUUACAAUUUUUGCAAACUUUUCAAUUUGCCAACUACUGGAACACCUAUUCCAGGUACUGUAUUUUUCAAGCUUACU